rnacentral:rRNA from 1 species
GAUGAACGCUGGCGGCGUGCCUAAUACAUGCAAGUCGAGCGAACGGACGAUAAGCUUGCUUCUCUGAGGUUAGCGGCGGACGGGUGAGUAACACGUGGAUAACCUACCUAUAAUACUGGGAUAACUUCGGGAAACCGGAUCUAAUACCAGAGAAUAUUUUGAACCGCAUGGUUCAAAAGUGAAUGGCGGUCUUGCUGUCACUUAUAGAUGGAUCCGCGCUGCAUUAGCUAGUUGGUAAGGUAACAGCCUACCAAGGCAACGAUGCAUAGCCGACCUGAGGGGGGGAUCAGCCCAACUGGAACUGAGGCCCGGGCCAGACUCCUCAGGGGAGGCACCAAGGGGAAUUUUGCCCAAGGGGGGGAAGCCUGGCCCGGCCAACGCGCGGUGGUGAAAGAAGGUUUCGGGUUGGAAAAACCUUUUUUUGGGGAAAAAAAAUAUGUGGAUAAUACCCCGCUGUUCUUGCGGGACCCAAAGAAGAAGCACCGGGUAACUUCGUG